UUAUUUGCAUUGACUUACAGCCUUCAGGGAGUAUGCUGGAGUAAGGGUAUGUGGAGCCAAAGAGGUCACACUGGUCACUACCCUGGCCUCAUGGCCUCAGAACACAAAGGGCAUGGUUACCGUGGAAUGAAGUGAAAGACUUGACUAAGGCUCACAUUGCUCCCCUUCGGGGAAAUACUGAAUGAAGGAUGCUCAUUCCCUUUCUUGAUCAGCCAUGCCCUAGGUGAGAACCUACCCAACCACAAGCUUCAACUACAACAAUGUAUUGCUGAGCUACGUGGAGCCAAGCAACCAUGAGAUGAAACAUCUAAAACUGAAAUCUACUGUUGAAUAAUGGAAGGACAGAUGAAGGCUAA